rnacentral:snRNA from 1 species
AUCGCUUCUCGGCCUUUUGGGCUAAGAUCAAGUGUAGUAUCUGUUCUUAUCAGUUUAAAAACUGAUACAUCCCCGAUUUGGGGAUUAUAUUUUAAAUGGAUUUUUGAAAUAGGGAGUUGGUUUAGGAGCUUGCUCCAUCCACUCCACGCAUCGAUCUGGUAUUGCAGUACAUCCAGAAACGGUGCACUUCCC